ensembl:processed_transcript 1810021B22Rik RIKEN cDNA 1810021B22 gene
UUCCCUCCAGCAGUCUGUUACACAAGAGGCCCGCAUGGAGACUACUGACAGGAAUGUAGCCCCAUCGGGCCAGGUUCGUUUCACUGAGCCCUGGGUCUGAGGGCGAAGCCCUGCUGUGGACCUUCUGAUGAACAUAAAUGCAUCCUGACCACAACCAGCCAAGAGCCCUCCCUGGAUCCUGCCAGCUCUGUGGUCCCUGAUGAAGAUGUAGCUCUCAGCCCUGAUGAUGCAGCUCCCGUGCCCUGCCUGCCUGCCUGCCGCUCAACUCCCUAUCAUACUGUUCAUAGACUUACCCUCUGAAACUACAGCCAAUCCUCCAAUUAAAUGUUUUCUUCUUUAA